UACGUAGGGGGCAAGCGUUGUCCGGAAUCAUUGGGCGUAAAGAGCGUGUAGGCGGUCCGGUAAGUCAGCUGUGAAAGUCAAGGGCUCAACCCUUGAAUGCCGGUUGAUACUGUCGGGCUAGAGUCCGGAAGAGGCGAGUGGAAUUCCCGGUGUAGCGGUGAAAUGCGCAGAUAUCGGGAGGAACGCCAAUGGCGAAGGCAGCUCGCUGGGACGGUACUGACGCUGAGACGCGAAAGCGUGGGGAGCAAACAGG
rnacentral:rRNA from 1 species